GACGUAGGGCGCGAGCGUUGUCCGGAUUUAUUGGGCGUAAAGAGCUCGUAGGCGGCUUGUCGCGUCGACUGUGAAAACCCGUGGCUCAACCAUGUGGUCUGCAGUCGAUACGGGCGGGCUAGAAUUCGGUAGGGGAGACUGGAAUUCCUGGUGUAGCGGUGAAAUGCGUAGAUAUCUGGAGGAACACCGGUGGCGAAGGCGGCGUCCUGGACCAACACUGACACUGAUGAGCGAAAGCCAGGGGAGCAAACGGG
rnacentral:rRNA from 1 species